rnacentral:lncRNA from 1 species
CUUUCUGUGUGGCAGAGGUGACUGUGCUCUGAAGAUGAGAGCCGCUAUCCAGAAGUGAGUUCCAGGAGAUAGCAAUUAGGUUGUUCUGUCUAAGCUGGCUCAUCAGAUUCAUGGCAAAGUGAAGAAAUUCCAGAUUGCUGAGAUGGCUCUGCACUGUGAAUGAGAUAAAGUAAAAUUCCAGAUGGAAACCAGAGACAGCCUGUUUUGAUGAUGUAGCCUUUGCUGGCAAUCCAGAAGCACGAACACGUGGGGAGAGCUGCUGUUAGAAAGUCUCCCUUGAAAUGCAAAUGAUGGCUGAUGAUACAAGUUCUGAAGUGCAAGGAGAAUGCAUCUGAUGGAGAUGCAUGGAGAGGUAAAGAGAAGAAGAAGGAAGAAGAGGGAGGGUGAACAUGAAAGCACUCCUUUGUAAAUGUAUUUUCUUAGCAGUUUGGAAGACAAAAUUAGACCACAGUAUCAUUAAAAACCAAGACAAACAGCUGUAAA